rnacentral:rRNA from 1 species
CCUACGGGAGGCAGCAGUGAGGAAUAUUGCGCAAUGGGCGAAAGCCUGACGCAGCGACGCCGCGUGGGGGAUGAAGGUCUUCGGAUUGUAAACCCCUUUCGGGAGGGAAAAUGGUGCUCGACAACGAGCACGGAUGGUACCUCCAGAAGCAGCCACGGCUAACUUCGUGCCAGCAGCCGCGGUAAUACGAAGGUGGCAAGCGUUGUUCGGAUUUACUGGGCGUACAGGGUGCGUAGGUGGUUGUGUAAGCCCCUCGGGAAAUCUCCAGGCUUAACCUGGAAAGGUCGGGGGGGACUGCACGGCUAGAGGACGGAAGAGGAGCGCGGAAUUCCCGGUGUAGCGGUGAAAUGCGUAGAGAUCGGGAGGAAGGCCGGUGGCGAAGGCGGCGCUCUGGGACGUUCCUGACACUGAGGCACGAAAGCGUGGGGAGCAAACAGGAU